GUACUGCUGAGGAGUCCCAAACUAGGACGAAAUAGCUUUCCAGUAC
rnacentral:hammerhead_ribozyme from 1 species